rnacentral:rRNA from 1 species
GAGUAAAAGUCGUAACAAGGUUUCCGUAGGUGAACUGCGGAAGGAUCAUUAACGAAUCCGUUCAACCUUAUAACACCGUGCACUUGGUCGCGCAUCGUGCGCAUGUCUCCUUUCGGGGUUGCUGCCUGGCAGCAUUAAAUCGCAGUCGUCGGGUGCUGAGUCUUCUUCUCAGUGUUCCGGCGAGUGCGUGCCCCGUCUGGAGACUGCGUGCGUGCGUGGUUUUCUCACCGCACACCUUGCCGUGUGCACUCCGUUUAUCUCUUAAACCAAGCAAAUUUGCAGACCGAACUGUUGGGCUUUCAACGUGAAAGCUUGUUUUAUGAUUAAAUCAUUGACAACUUUCAACGGUGGAUCUCUUGGCUCGUGGAUCGAUGAAGAACGCAGCAAAACGCGAUAUGUAGUGUGAAUUGCAGAAUUCAGUGAAUCAUCGAAUCUUUGAACGCAAAUGGCGCCCCUGGGUAUUCCCAGGAGCAUGUCUGUCUCAGUGUCGUUUUCACCUCGAACGCGCUUCGGCGCGGUGGUCUUGAGGCGUCUGAGAGACUGGCCGUCGUUCGAGCACUUGUGCUCGUUCGAUGGACCCGUUCCUCUCAGUCCCUUGAAAUGCAGUGGCCGAACGUUGUGCUAAAGCAUGCCUCGGGUCGGUUCGCCCCGGUCUGCUCGCACGGCUGAUCAGUCUUUUCUGUCGUCGUGUCGCAGCGGCUUGGGUGCACUUGAACUUUUGCCUGGCUCAACUGUUCGAAUCAAGCCAACUCUGGAAAACGAACUUGCUCUAUUUCGGCUGUUCACGCAGCUACUUUGGAGCAACACCAUCGACCUGAGAUCAGUCAAGACUACCCGCUGAAUUUAAGC